GGUAAUACGGAGGGUGCGAGCGUUAAUCGGAAUUACUGGGCGUAAAGCGCAUGCAGGUGGUUUGUUAAGUCAGAUGUGAAAGCCCGGGGCUCAACCUCGGAAUUGCAUUUGAAACUGGCAAACUAGAGUACUGUAGAGGGGGGUAGAAUUUCAGGUGUAGCGGUGAAAUGCGUAGAGAUCUGAAGGAAUACCGGUGGCGAAGGCGGCCCCCUGGACAGAUACUGACACUCAGAUGCGAAAGCGUGGGGAGCAAACAGGAUUAGAUACCCUGGUAGUCCACGCCGUAAACGAUGUCUACUUGGAGGUUGUGGCCUUGAGCCGUGGCUUUCGGAGCUAACGCGUUAAGUAGACCGCCUGGGGAGUACGGUCGCAAGAUUAAAACUCAAAUGAAUUGACGGGGGCCCGCACAAGCGGUGGAGCAUGUGGUUUAAUUCGAUGCAACGCGAAGAACCUUACCUACUCUUGACAUCUACAGAAGCCAGCGGAGACGCAGGUGUGCCUUCGGGAACUGUAAGACAGGUGCUGCAUGGCUGUCGUCAGCUCGUGUUGUGAAAUGUUGGGUUAAGUCCCGCAACGAGCGCAACCCUUAUCCUUGUUUGCCAGCACUUCGGGUGGGAACUCCAGGGAGACUGCCGGUGAUAAACCGGAGGAAGGUGGGGACGACGUCAAGUCAUCAUGGCCCUUACGAGUAGGGCUACACACGUGCUACAAUGGCGCAUACAGAGGGCGGCCAACUUGCGAAAGUGAGCGAAUCCCAAAAAGUGCGUCGUAGUCCGGAUUGGAGUCUGCAACUCGACUCCAUGAAGUCGGAAUCGCUAGUAAUCGUGGAUCAGAAUGCCACGGUGAAUACGUUCCCGGGCCUUGUACACACCGCCCGUCACACCAUGGGAGUGGGCUGCAAAAGAAGUGGGUAGUUUAACCUUCGGGAGGACGCUCACCACUUUGUGGUUCAUGACUGGGGUGAAGUCGUAACAAGGUAACCG
rnacentral:rRNA from 1 species